AACAAACGCUGGCGGCGUGCCUAAUACAUGCAAGUCGAACGGGGAAAGGCUUCGGCCAAGUACUAGUGGCGCACGGGUGAGUAAUACAUGGGUAAUCUGCCUCAGAGUGGGGGAUAACUAGUUGAAAAAUUAGCUAAUACCCCAUAAGACCACGAUCUCAUAAGAGGUUGAGGUAAAGGUUUUUCGCUUUGAGAUGAGCCCAUGUGAGAUUAGCUAGUUGGUAGGGUAACGGCCUACCCAGGCGACGAUCUCUAGCUGGUCUGAGAGGAUGAUCAGCCACACUGGAACUGAGACACGGUCCAGACUCCUACGGGAGGCAGCAGUAGGGAAUAUUGCGCAAUGGAGGAAACUCUGACGCAGCGACGCCGCGUGAGCGAUGAAGGCCUUCGGGUUGUAAAGCUCUGUUGCAGGGGAAAAUAAAGUGAUUGUACCCUGCGAGGAAGGAUCGGCUAACUUCGUGCCAGCCGCCGCAGUAA
rnacentral:rRNA from 1 species